AAAAUGUAGAGUUGUCAACAUUCAGAUGCUUCAAUGGCCAAGACUGUGGUAUUCAGUUUCUAUCAGCAUGUACAGGAUAUCCUGCCUGGUUUUGACCUCAGGAGAAGAAUGACGGAGAAUGCCUAGGGGGAACUUGUGAACUUUACCUGUCAGAUCUUUCCUCCUGGUGUGAUGUGACGUGCUCUCUCUCACCUCUCAGGAAGCAACGGAUGCGUUAACAGCCCUUGUUGGAAGGACAUUUUUAGACGAUCUACAUGACAGGAUGACAUACACUGAUGUUGGGGUGUUUAAAAAGAACAGAGUUUCACUGUGUAGAUGUGUGGAUGAAGAAAUUGAACUUCGAGGAGACAUUUGCUUCCAAUGAAAACCAAGAGUGGAGAGAACCAUUAAAAUCACUUAUGGACUCC
rnacentral:lncRNA from 1 species